rnacentral:lncRNA from 1 species
CCACUGUACAGCAAGGGGGUCAGGUUAUCCUUAGAUGUAUACAUUGCAGUUACAGUUUUUUCCCCCACCCUUUCUUCUGUUUCAAAGGGAAAAGGCGCAAGGGGCAAAGUCCAGAGAAAACCACAGGCAAGCUUCCAAGCGGAGGCACAAAAGAUGCAUAACCCCCUCCCCCUGGCAAUGAAUUGUGGUGACACGUAUGAAAUGUUCCCCAGGGAAGCUUGUUAGAAACUCAGUGCCCAGGUUUGCAUUAUGGGCUUGUCACACUGGGCAGCUUCUGCUUAGCAGGUUCUAAAAAUUCAAACACAGUGCUUCCAUCGUGGCUCAGCAGUAACAAACCCUACUUGUAUCCAUGACGAUGAGGGUUCAAUCCCUGGCCUUAUUCAGUGGAUUAAGAAUCCAGCAUUGCCGUGAGCUGUGGUGUAGGCUAGCAGCUUCAGCUCUGCUUCAACCCCUAACCCAGGAACUUCCAUAUGCUCCAAGUGAAGCCCUGAAAAGAAAAAAAAUAAAAUGAAAUUCCAGACUCCCAAAAGGAAAGCAAGUAUUCAAUAUAAACCCCAUUCUUCGUACACUUUAGAGACAGUAAGCCACUCUUAACAGUGAAUGUGGUGGAAACACUCCUGAAAUCUAAGUUUCCAGGUGCCAACAAAGGCCAAUCUUGCAAGCAGGGUUUUCUGAGGAAAGCCCUUUGCUAACGCCUGCUGUAUUAACUCUUCUGCACAGUAGAUUUGCCGGAUGUUUCUCACGAUUAUUGCGUGAGUAAUGCGUAUUUGGCUAGAAUAUCACAGAUGUUGUAUUGUUCUCCUUGCACUUAUGCGUGAAACAUGGCACCAACUGACCCCUGUAAUAAAGAGUGUGAUUCCAUUUUUGAUGUUUGGCUGCUGCUAACUUUCAAGUCUUACGCUUUUCUCUUCUCCUGCCCCACAUUUGGGCAAGCUGGUAAGAAAAUACAGAUGCUCCCUCCUUUGAUGCAGGUAAGAAAUUCCAUCUAUACAAGCCCUGGCCAGUGUCUGGGGACCGUCUCCAGUAGCCCCACCACUUAACCACAAUAAAAGCCAAAACCAGUCACCCUUCUUGCUCUCUCAAGCUAUUUGCGGACACGCUUGGGAGCCUACUCUACUCCACUCCCUUCAAAAAGCCUCAAAACUUAAUAAGCCUUCUUUCUAUCCUCUUUGGGGGGAGGAGGGUGUGUGCGUGCGUGUGUGCGUGCAUGCGUGUGAGAGCAUCAGUCUUGAUAUCUGUUCCAGCCUGGGAUAUGUGAUCCAUCUCACCUGCACAAAAGCCCAGCCACCACUUGAGGUGUUAACUUCACACGGUUGAGACAAUAUUUGCUAGACCCUUAGGAGUAUAAAGCUAUGUAUUUCCCCUUUCAUAAUCAAUAAAUAUUUUGGGGAGUGAUAACACAACUAUGUAAAAUCUCAUUCUUCACCUCACUUUCAUUCACUAGCUUUGCUAUCCAUUAAUGUUAAUUAUUUCUCUAAUUUUUGCCAAAGAUUUUCUAAUAGCAUCAAUUCUACUUUUAGUAAUUGGCUUUCUACUCAAAGGAAGACUUCUCUAGCCUUCCUAUUUAUUUAUUUAUUUAUUUAUCUAUCCAACUUCACUAAGAUAUAACUGGCAUGUAACAUUGUAAAAGUUUAGAGUAUACAAAGUCAUGACUUGAUUACAUGAACAUAUUGCGAAAUGAUAGCUACAAGAAGGUUAGUUAACACCUACAACAUCUCCUAUAAUUGCAAUUGUGUGUGGGGGGGUAACAUUUGAGAUCUAUUCUUUUAGCAACUUUCAAGUACAUAACAAUAUUGUUAACUAUGGUUAACAAUAACAAUAUUAAUAUAUAGCACUAACAUGCUGUAUACUAGCUCCCCGGAACUUAUUCAUCUUAUAACUGGACCUUUGUACCCUUUGAUCAAUAUCUCCCCCACUUUCCUCACCCCUGGCAACCACCAUUCUACUCUCUGUUCCUAUGAGUUUGGCUUUUUUAGAUUCCACAUAAAAGCAAAAAUGUACAGUACUUGUUUUUCUCUGACUUAUUUUACUCAGCGUUGUGUUCUCAAAUUCCAUCCAUGUUGUUGCCAGUGGCAGGAUUUCCUUUCUUAAGGUUGAAUAAUAUUCCUUUGUGUAUAUAUAUCACAUUUUCUUUAUCCAUUUACAUGUGGAUGAAGACAACCUGAUUCACUGAUUUCACUUCCUUCAGGUCUAAGCCCAGAAGUAGGACUGCUGAAUCAUAUGGUAUUCUAAUUUUCAGGAAACCUCAUACUGUUUUCUGUCAUGGCUGUAUCUUUUUAUGUUCUCAUCAACAGUGUACAAAAGUUCCAAUUUCUCUACAUCUUCAUCAAUACUUGAGUGUUACCUCUUACUUUUUGGAUAAUAGCUAUUCUAACAGGUAUGAGGUGAUAUCUGAUUAUGGUAUUAAUUUGUCUUUACCAGAUAAUUAGUGAUGUUGAGCAUCUUUUCAAGUACCUGCUGGCCUUUUUUAUUUUUUAAUUUAUAGGGCUGCACCUGCAGUAUACGGAUGUUCCCAGGUUGGGGUCGAAUUGGACAGCUGCAGCUGCUGGUCUAUA